ensembl:lncRNA MIR99AHG mir-99a-let-7c cluster host gene
CUAUGACACUUAGAGAAGAUGUCUUUUGAUUUUUCCCAUCUAACUAGAAAUUUCUGGCCUUCUUCAACCUUCAUGUAAUAGUGAAUUUAUUGAUACUGCAUUUGCAAGGUUGACGUUUCAUUUCUAAGAAAAGAAUGUUUACUACAAUUAGAUGAGAAGAGUCUCUUCUGGUCAAAGAAGAUCUCUUAAGAGUAGUUCACAUGGGGAAAAGAAAAAUGGAUCUGAGAACGCUGUCUGGGCUUGGUACCAAGAGCUGGUAUUUCACAGCAGCGACCGCCUCACAGACGAGCUGUGGGAAGCAGGAGGGAGACUCUCUCUUAGGGUGCCACUACUAUGGAGACACAGCUGGGCUGAACAAGAUUUGCUUCAAACGACAACAAGAGAGACAGAAAGUAUCUGGUUCAACCGCUGCCCGAGCAGGCAGGCACCAGAAGAGCUAGCAGCCAAUCCGGCCAUGCUCGAAGCCAGCUCUGCAGCUCAGCCAAUCAGUGACAUCAUUGCUUUCUUUAGCUUGCCCAUGGUGAUGUGAAGAUGAGAAGAAAUAGCAAGGCCCAACCAGUUCUUCAUCUGGAGACAGUUCAACGUUCUGCAAACCAGAUCUUCAGGAAUUUUACUGGGAUAAUUAUCCAAAUAAAUUGCAAGCAUUCUAUCCAAAUGGAGCUCUUUCUGAGAUGAAGAGAAUUCUCAAUGUCAAGAUUUGAACAAGAAGAGAAUGGAAUACACAAUAUGGACAUCCAUAAAAAUUCAUCAGAGAGCAUUUUACUACUGAGCUGCAAAGGGAAAAACUUAAAAUGGAUAUGAAAAGUGAAGAAAGUGAUCAUAGGAGAAAACCAUUUCAGAUCAACCACCUCAGAAGAGCCAGAUUCCACUUCUGUGGCCAGGACUUUUACAUUAUGGCUGGUCCGAUUGUUUUACCCUGCGUUCUAUGCUACUAAACCUUGGAUCAUUCCUAAAGUACAAAUUCUGUUCUCGAACCACAAACAAGGCUAAAAGAUCGGAGGAAAUUCAGUGAAUAUACAGGAUUGGGGUUGUGUAUUUUUAAAAGUAUUGAGCUUUAUAAUGUAAUUAUUCAAGAAAUAGAAUCAUGGUUUUUUUAUGAUGUUGCCAGCAUUUUAAAUUACAUGUUUAUUAAGUGGCAUUGCUCAAAUAACUACAGAGUAUGCGUGGAAAUAUUUGCUGUCUGAAUAGUUUGGAGAUUCAAAGAGAAAAAUCAAGCUUCAGAGGUAUUAAAUUAUGACAUGCAGAAAAGUUUUUGUUUUGUUCUUAACUGCAACGGUAUAUAUUUAAAUCCGAUUUAAAGUAUUAUAUGUCCUGGGCCCACCUUACCAGUUGUGCUGUAUAGCAGUGUAAUGGGAAGCAAAAUUUCAAUUAGGGUCCCAUUAACUGGCAUAUAAUCCUUCUUUAAUGUAAUAGAGGCUAUGGUGUUGCUGUACAAAUCUGCUAGAAGCAGAUUUUAACCCAUGUUUAGUCUCUUUCUUUGGAUCUAAUGGAAUGACUCUUAACUGUUCAUUGUCUGCAUUGUUUCUCAUAUUCUUCAUUAUUUUAAGGUCUGGAAUUAGUCUAUAAAUGGUCGUCGUGAUUACUC